rnacentral:rRNA from 1 species
UGAGGAAUAUUGGACAAUGGAUGGAAAUCUGAUCCAGCCAUGCCGCGUGCAGGAAGACGGCCCUAUGGGUUGUAAACUGCUUUUGUAUGGGAGCAAUAAGGACUACGUGUAGUUUGAUGAGAGUACCUUACGAAUAAGCAUCGGCUAACUCCGUGCAAGCAGCCGCGGUAAUACGGAGGAUGCGAGCGUUAUCCGGAUUUAUUGGGUUUAAAGGGUGCGUAGGCGGCGAUAUAAGUCAGUGGUGAAAUAGUUCGGCUUAACCGAGAGACUGACAUUGAUACUGUGUUGCUAGAAUAUGGUUGCGGUGAGUGGAAUGUGUGGUGUAGCGGUGAAAUGCUUAGAGAUCGCACAGAAUAUCGAUUGCGAAGGCAGGUCACAAAGCCAUUAUUGACGCUGAGGCACGAAAGUGUGGGGAUCAAACA